GUUGUUGGGCCUGAGCCUUGCAUUUCAUAGCUGAUUUGCUGCGAGAAGAAGGGCCUCGCGAAGCUGUUGCUGGAUCAGUUUUGGGCCCGGUUUUGGGUCCGUUUUGGGACCAUUUCAGUUUUUUUUUUUUUAUUGUUUUAUUGUAAUAGAUUAGAAAUGGGUUUCCACGAAUGGGUCACGAAGAAUUUUAAUUCUUUUAUUACUGUUCUUUGCAUGUCGUGGUUGUUAAUCCCUUAUGCUCUUUACCUGCUUUUGCACGUCUUUACUUGUUAAUAUUUGUUUAUUAACUGCGC
rnacentral:lncRNA from 1 species